GCCCCUUUGUCUAGCAGAACCUUGAGGACCUGUGGAUUGAAUCACAAGUGUAGCGAGAAAGGAAAGAAACAGGAGAGAGCAGUUCUCAGCGCUGCCGCCGCCGAUUUGGUGCACUUCUUUAGCGAAAUAAGGGUUAUCAGUCAGUCACGGCAUCCUACAGCUACGAGUGAAACGUGAGGCAGCGGUCUGAGGUUAGCAGUUCCCCCGCAAACAGCAGCCCUUCACCGGCUCAGAUUUCGGCGACACACCGGCACGAGAAUUAGUGCCAUUUCAGUAAAAAUCGAUUACAGAGUACGGUUGAAUACGCUUAAAUUAAAAUGCUACUUUUAAAUGUUACAUUUUUUAUUUAAAAAAUGCUUGUUGAA